AUAGGGGAGCCGGAGGGAAACCGAGUCUUAAUUGGGCGUUAAGUUGCAGGGUAUAGACCCGAAACCCGGUGAUCUAGCCAUGGGCAGGUUGAAGGUUGGGUAACACUAACUGGAGGACCGAACCGACUAAUGUUGAAAAAUUAGCGGAUGACCUGUGGCUGGGGGUGAAAGGCCAAUCAAACCGGGAGAUAGCUGGUUCUCCCCGAAAGCUAUUUAGGUAGCGCCUCGUGAAUUCAUCUCCGGGGGUAGAGCACUGUUUCGGCUAGGGGGCCAUCCCGGCUUACCAACCCGAUGCAAACUGCGAAUACCGGAGAAUGUUAUCACGGGAGACACACGGCGGGUGCUAACGUCCGUCGUGAAGAGGGAAACAACCCAGACCGCCAGCUAAGGUCCCAAAGUCAUGGUUAAGUGGGAAACGAUGUGGGAAGGCCCAGACAGCCAGGAUGUUGGCUUAGAAGCAGCCAUCAUUUAAAGAAAGCGUAAUAGCUCACUGGUCGAGUCGGCCUGCGCGGAAGAUGUAACGGGGCUAAACCAUGCACCGAAG
rnacentral:rRNA from 1 species